rnacentral:rRNA from 1 species
AGAACGAACGCUGGCGGCAUGCCUAAUACAUGCAAGUCGAACGAACACUUCGGUGUUAGUGGCGCACGGGUGCGUAACGCGUGGGAAUCUGCCCUUGGGUUCGGAAUAACAGUUGGAAACGACUGCUAAUACCGGAUGAUAUCGAAAGAUCAAAGAUUUAUCGCCCAGGGAUGAGCCCGCGUAGGAUUAGCUAGUUGGUGAGGUAAAGGCUCACCAAGGCGACGAUCCUUAGCUGGUCUGAGAGGAUGAUCAGCCACACUGGGACUGAGACACGGCCCAGACUCCUAGGGAGGCAGCAGUAGGGAAUAUUGGACAAGUGGGACAAAGCCUGAUCCAGCAAUGCCGCGUGAGUGAUGAAGGCCGUUAGGGUUAGUAAAGUCUUCUUUUACCCGAGAUGAUAAUGACAGUAGU